GUAAUCUGCUCCCGCGUCUGCAAAAUCAGACGCCGGGAUUGGCGUCCUGAAAA
rnacentral:ncRNA from 1 species